CAAUAGCGUAUAUUAAAGUUGUUGCAGUUAAAAAGCUCGUAGUUGGAUUUGUGGUUGGAGCGACCGGCCCGUCACUCAGUGUCGGUGUUUGUGUCGUCUCCGUCCAUCCUUGGGUGGAAGCAGCGUGGCAUUGAGUUGUCGUGCUGGGGAUACCCAUCGUUUACUGUGAAAAAAUUAGAGUGUUCAAAGCAGGCUUACGCCGUUGAAUAUAUUAGCAUGGAAUAAUAAGAUAGGACCUGGGUACUAUUUUGUUGGUUUGCGCACCCUGGUAAUGAUUAAUAGGGACAGUUGGGGGUAUUCGUAUUCCAUUGUCAGAGGUGAAAUUCUUGGAUUUCUGGAAGACGAACUAAUGCGAAAGCAUUUACCAAGGAUGUUUUCAUUA
rnacentral:rRNA from 1 species